rnacentral:rRNA from 1 species
CUGCGCUAUAGAUGAGCUAGUCAGAUAGCUAGUGGUGGGUAAAGCUACAGCGACGAUCGUAGCGUUCGAGAGAUGAUCGCACACUGGACUGAGACACGUCCAGACUCUACGGGAGCAGCAGUGGGGAAUAUGACAUGGCGAAAGCUGAUCCAGCAUGCCGCGUGUGUGAAGAAGCUUUUGGUGUAAAGCACUUUAAGCGAGGAGGAGGCUACCGAGAUUAUACCCUUGGAUAGUGGACGUUACUCGCAGAAUAAGCACCGGCUAACUCUGUGCCAGCAGCCGCGGUAAUACAGAGGGUGCGAGCGUUAAUCGGAUUUACUGGGCGUAAAGCGUGCGUAGGCGGCUUUUUAAGUCGGAUGUGAAAUCCUGAGCUUAACUUAGGAAUUGCAUUCGAUACUGGGAAGCUAGAGUAUGGGAGAGGAUGGUAGAAUUCCAGGUGUAGCGGUGAAAUGCGUAGAGAUCUGGAGGAAUACCGAUGGCGAAGGCAGCCAUCUGGCCUAAUACUGACGCUGAGGUACGAAAGCAUGGGGAGCAAACAGGAUUAGAUACCCUGGUAGUCCAUGCCGUAAACGAUGUCUACUAGCCGUUGGGGCCUUUGAGGCUUUAGUGGCGCAGCUAACGCGAUAAGUAGACCGCCUGGGGAGUACGGUCGCAAGACUAAAACUCAAAUGAAUUGACGGGGGCCCGCACAAGCGGUGGAGCAUGUGGUUUAAUUCGAUGCAACGCGAAGAACCUUACCUGGUCUUGACAUAGUAAGAACUUUCCAGAGAUGGAUUGGUGCCUUCGGGAACUUACAUACAGGUGCUGCAUGGCUGUCGUCAGCUCGUGUCGUGAGAUGUUGGGUUAAGUCCCGCAACGAGCGCAACCCUUUUCCUUAUUUGCCAGCGGGUUAAGCCGGGAACUUUAAGGAUACUGCCAGUGACAAACUGGAGGAAGGCGGGGACGACGUCAAGUCAUCAUGGCCCUUACGACCAGGGCUACACACGUGCUACAAUGGUCGGUACAAAGGGUUGCUACCUAGCGAUAGGAUGCUAAUCUCAAAAAGCCGAUCGUAGUCCGGAUUGGAGUCUGCAACUCGACUCCAUGAAGUCGGAAUCGCUAGUAAUCGCGGAUCAGAAUGCCGCGGUGAAUACGUUCCCGGGCCUUGUACACACCGCCCGUCACACCAUGGGAAUUUGUUGCACCAGAAGUAGGUAGUCUAACCGCAAGGAGGACGCUACCGUCUAU